AUUGAACGCUGGCGGCAGGCUUAACACAUGCAAGUCGAGCGGAGCGAGGGUGCUUGCACCUUAGCUUAGCGGCGGACGGGUGAGUAAUGCUUAGGAAUCUGCCUAUUAGUGGGGGACAACAUUCCGAAAGGAAUGCUAAUACCGCAUACGCCCUACGGGGGAAAGCAGGGGAUCUUCGGACCUUGCGCUAAUAGAUGAGCCUAAGUCGGAUUAGCUAGUUGGUGGGGUAAAGGCCUACCAAGGCGACGAUCCGUAGCGGGUCUGAGAGGAUGAUCCGCCACACUGGGACGGAGACACGGCCCAGACUCCUACGGGAGGCAGCAGUGGGGAAUAUUGGACAAUGGGCGGAAGCCUGAUCCAGCCAUGCCGCGUGUGUGAAGAAGGCCUUUUGGUUGUAAAGCACUUUAAGCGAGGAGGAGGCUCUUUUGGUUAAUACCCAAGAUGAGUGGACGUUAUUCGCAGAAUAAGCACCGGCUAACUCUGUGCCAGCCGCCGCAGUAAUAC
rnacentral:rRNA from 1 species